rnacentral:rRNA from 1 species
UACGUAGGGUGCGAGCGUUAAUCGGACUUACUGGGCGUAAAGCGUGCGCAGGCGGACUUUUAAGCCAGGUGUGAAAUCCCCGGGCUUAACCUGGGAAAUGCGGUUGGAACUGGAAGGCUAGAGUAAGGCAGAGGGGGGUGGAAUUCCACGUGUAGCAGUGAAAUGCGUAGAGAUGUGGAGGAACACCGAUGGCGAAGGCAGCCCCCUGGGCCUGUACUGACGCUCAUGCGCGAAAGCGUGGGGAGCAAACAGG